AUACGUAGGUGGCGAGCGUUGUCCGGAAUUACUGGGUGUAAAGGGCGUGUAGGCGGGGCGUCAAGUCAGAUGUGAAAGUCCGAGGCUUAACUUCGGGUGUGCAUCUGAAACUGAUGUUCUUGAGUGUCGGAGAGGAAAGUGGAAUUCCCAGUGUAGCGGUGAAAUGCGUAGAGAUUGGGAGGAACACCAGUGGCGAAGGCGGCUUUCUGGACGAAAACUGACGCUGAGGCGCGAAAGCGUGGGUAGCAAACAGGAUUAGAUACCCUGGUAGUCCACGCCGUAAACGAUGGAUACUAGGUGUAGGAGGUAUCGACCCCUUCUGUGCCGGAGUUAACACAAUAAGUAUCCCACCUGGGGAGUACGGCCGCAAGGCUGAAACUCAAAGGAAUUGACGGGG
rnacentral:rRNA from 1 species